AACGAACGCUGGCGGCAGGCUUAACACAUGCAAGUCGAACGGGUGUAGCAAUACAUCAGUGGCAGACGGGUGAGUAACACGUGGGAACCUUCCUAGGGGUACGGAACAACUCAGGGAAACUUGAGCUAAUACCGUAUACGUCCGUGAGGAGAAAGAUUUAUCGCCCUUAGACGGGCCCGCGUCGGAUUAGCUAGUUGGUGGGGUAACGGCCUACCAAGGCGACGAUCCGUAGCUGAUCUUAGAGGAUGAUCAGCCACACUGGGACUGAGACACGGCCCAGACUCCUACGGGAGGAAGCAGUGGGGAAUCUUGGACAAUGGGCGCAAGCCUGAUCCAGCCAUGCCGCGUGAGUGGAGAAGGUCUUCGGAUUGUAAAGCUCUUUUGCCAGGGACGAUAAUGACGGUACCUGGAGAAUAAGCCCCGGCAAACUUCGUGCCAGCAGCCGCCGUAA
rnacentral:rRNA from 1 species